rnacentral:rRNA from 1 species
GAUGAACGCUAGCGGCAGGCCUAAUACAUGCAAGUCGAACGGGAUUAAGAGGCUUGCUUCUUAUGAGAGUGGCGCACGGGUGCGUAACACGUAUGCAACCUACCUUCAACUGGGGGAUAGCCUUCCGAAAGGGAGAUUAAUACCGCAUAACAUAAUUGAGUGGCAUCACAUGAUUAUCAAACGUCAGGGUUGAAGAUGGGCAUGCGUCCGAUUAGUUUGUUGGUGAGGUAACGGCUCACCAAGACUACGAUCGGUAGGGGAUCUGAGAGGAUGGCCCCCCACACUGGUACUGAGACACGGACCAGACUCCUACGGGAGGCAGCAGUAAGGAAUAUUGGUCAAUGGACGGAAGUCUGAACCAGCCAUGCCGCAUGCAGGAAGACGGUCCUCUGGAUUGUAAACUGCUUUUGUUAGGGAAGAAACUUCCGUACGUGUACGGGACUGACGGUACCUAAAGAAUAAGGAUCGGCUAACUCCGUGCCAGCAGCCGCAGUAAGAC